GGUCACCUGCUGCACCCCUGCACCCCUCGGGGUCGGAGCCCGGCUGCACCCCUGUACCCCUCGGGGUCACCUGCUGCACCCCUGCACCCCUCGGGGUCACCUGCUGCACCCCUGCACCCCUCGGGGUCAGAGCCCCGCUGCACCCCUGCGCCCCUCCUCAGGGUCAGAGCCCAGCUGCAUCCCUGCACCCCUCGGGGUCACAACCUAGCAGCCCGCUGCCACCCUCGGGGUCACCUACUGCACCCCUGCACCCCUCAGGGUCAGAGCCCAGCUGCACCCCUGCACCCCUCAGAGUCACCUGCUGUACCCGUCAGGGUCAGAGCCCAGCCAGCCCCGCCCCGUCCCUCCAGGGUCAGGCCCACCAUCACUUCUCUGCUUUGUUUGGUCUUGGUAAGGUAGUAAUGAGGUUGAGGGCCACCUGUGUGUGGCGGCGAGGUCAUGAUCAUCGCCAGUAUUCAUUAUUACCAAAAGCAGAGCUGAGUCUGGACUCUUCCCGAGAAGCGCCAGGAUGGUGGCACGCCCAGGGGGUCUCUAAGGGGAGCCGCUGGCAGGAGAAGCCCUGCGCAGACAAUGCGAUGCCCCCAGCAGCCCCAGGGCCCGUCAUCUCAGUGCACCGGGCGUCUCUAACCUUCCUCCGCAGAGGGCCGGCCCUGCCGGGUCUCAGGGCUGGUGAAGCCAGGAGCGUUUAUUCCCCUGGGAGCCCCCAGCCAUCAGCUGAGGGGAGCUGCUGGAUAAACCCCUGCUACAGCUGAGCAUUUGAAUGGUCUGUCAUUGACUGCCAGCACAUCAUGGCCAGUUUUCCAGUCCCACAGGAAGGAGACUCCUUAAAGAUGGGAAUCUGCUGAAGCUGUGGAAGCCUGUCUGCUUUUGGCUAGAGUUCAAUCAACUCAGCAUCAUCACCACUCUUGUAAGCACAUGCUCAUCAGAAGCUCUCAUCGGCCAAUACUACUGACAUCACAGACUCUGGGCUGUGAGGAGUGCACCAGAUGCUGUCCUGGGGCCACCUGGUGCCCCGGCUCCAUUUCUUGCCAGUCUCAGCGGCAGCGGCUGGGAAGUGGAGGCCCGGGCAUGCCAAGAACACAGAUGACAAGGGGACCCAUGGUGCCACCCUUUGAAUGGGAUGCUGACAUGGCUUUGAGGAAGCCACCGUGGACGCCGUCAGUUGGAGGGGCCCUCUGAACCUGGGUUCUAUGGAAGAUGACGGGAAGAUUAAUGAGUAAUCCCCGGACCUGCCUGAAUGACUGGGAGUGGAAUAUCGCAGCGAUUCUCUGCAGUCCUGAGUUUGGCCCCUCAUCCUCCUCCUAGGGUCCCCGUCGGGAGGCUGAGGGUGAUGGUGCUUUUCAUUCCUUAUGCCGUUUGCCUCCCCUCAUCUAGAGGUACAGAGCCUGUGCUGGUGUCUCAGGAGCCAGGUCUGGGCCACGGCUGCCACAGCUGGGGUCACAGAGAAGAAAGGCCCUGGUGACUUGGAGUGAUUCAGAAUCAGUGGACAGCAAAGGUCAGAGUGAAGGGUUGGUAAUGGAAACGAGAGGGGGCUUGGCGGCAGGCCCCAGGGGCAGAGCUGAGCCAGGAAGGGAGGGAUGCCAGGAGGAGGACAGAUGAGCUGGAGCGUUUGAAGGCGUUGGGCUGGUUGGCCACCGUCCAUUUCCCACAUUCUGGUGCGUUGCAGGGCGGGCUCCCCGAAUUAGAGCCUUCCUGUCAACUGCGAGGGAUUCAGUGUCUCUCCAUCUGCAGUUUCCUGAUGGAAAACCCCUUACGUACAACAUCUAGUGACAGCAUCCGUCUAGGCCUGGCUGUCGCUGUCCCUGCCCGGUUGCUGCAGUGAUCUGGGCACACACUGCAGGUCGCCCGUUGCCUGAUUUGUCGGGGGGUGGCCUCAACUACCUCCCGCUUCUCUCUCCGAAAAGUAGCCUCUAGAGUCGAGUGGGGCCUGAAACAGCCUCCUCUGCUGUGCCGGAGCCCUUGACGCCAUGAUCAUUCUCAUGCGAUGUCCCCUUUCCCUGGCAUCUGGAGUUUGAUGGUGUGGCCUUUCCUGCCCACCAGGCACGGAGGCUGCAGGAAUUACAAUCCUGUCUUCCUCUCUACCUGUGUGACUUUGGACCGGUUCCACGAGCUCCCUGUGCCUCUGCUGCCUCAUCCCUAUGGGACGAUAACAGGUGGAUGUGACAAUCAUACCCGGCAAGUGGGCAAGUGCUUACAGCAGCCGGAGCUGAGGAAGUGAGGCCUUUGCCGUUAGGAUGGGCAGGCAGGAGGCGGGUUCUGUGCUUUUAGGACCCUGGAGCUCAGUCCUGAAAGGGGAGCUUUCAGAUGGGACCCCUACUGUGGGAGUGUUGCCUGAGGUCCAAGAAGUCAGGGAAGUCAGGGCCACCAGCAUUCAGGGGUUUACAUCUGGGUGCCGCUGUCUGGGAAAGGAAGUAGCAUUUCACAAGGAGAGCCUCCAUGCUUUUGGGGGAGGUGUGGGUGUGUUAGAUGUGGGCAGCUGCUGUCCUUUAAAAAAAAAAAAUAUAUAUAUAUAAAGAGAGGGGAGAGAGAUG